AUGAAAGAAGUGGUAAGAAAGGAAAUACUAAAGCUCCUUGAGGCAGGUAUAAUUUAUCCCGUUGCUGAUAGUCAGUGGGUAAGUCCUAUCCGUUGUGACCCUAAGAAGGGAGGUAUUACUGUCGUUCCUAAUGAUAAAGAUGAAUUGAUUCCUCAAAGAAUUAUUACAGGUUAUAGGAUGGUAAUUGAUUUCCGCAAAUUAAAUAAGGCCACUAAAAAGGAUCAUUACCCCUUACCUUUUAUCGAUCAAAUGCUAGAAAGAUUAUCCAAACAUACACAUUUUUGCUUUCUGGAUGGUUAUUCUGGUUUCUCUCAAAUACCUGUGUCAGCCAAGGAUCAGUCAAAGACUACUUUUACUUGCCCUUUUGGUACUUUUGCUUAUAGACGUAUGCCUUUUGGUUUAUGUAAUGCACCUGCCACCUUUCAAAGAUGCAUGAUGGCUAUAUUCUCUGACUUCUGUGAAAAGAUUUGUGAGAUUUUCAUGGACGAUUUCUCCGUCUAUGGAUCUUCUUUUGAUGAUUGCUUGAGCAACCUUGAUUGA
rnacentral:rRNA from 1 species